rnacentral:misc_RNA from 1 species
UAAGGGCAGAGACUACAGAAGAG